UGCUUUUACAUUUUAGGACGGGGAGCAUUUGCCCAAGGAAAAAAACGGGCAGCGAUAUAGAACAGAGGAAGAGGGAGGAGACAGAAGAAUCAUGGUACCAAUGGACUUGGCCAUGGAACUACAUCCUCAUGCCAUGCCCUUGAACUGUCUAAGCCACCCCCGGGCCCUAGAAUGCCCGACGGAACGAGGGGAUUCACAAUGGGUCGUGGACGGCCUCUACUUUCUUAACCAAGUUUGUGACUUUUGUUUUCAGCACCUCUGGUCUGAUCUUGCAUUCCGUGUUUUCAUUAUCAUGCGUUGUACAUAUUAGUGACGGUGUUCGGAUAUGGUUUUGAAGGCCAAUUGAUUUAUCGGUCUUAUUAGUGACGGUGUUAGCUUUGUUUAUCUUUUGAAAACUGAACAUACGAAACGAAACGGCUUGUCCUGUGGGGUUACGUUCAUA